UGCUUGUCUGUAAAGUAUUUUAUUUCUCCUUCACUUAUGAAGCUUAGUUUGGCUGGAUAUGAAAUUCUGGGUUGAAAAUUCUUUUCUUUUCUUUUUUUUUUUUUGUUCUUUUUUUAUUUUUUAUUUUUUUAUUUUUUUAUUAUUAUACUUUAAGUUUUAGGGUACAUGUGCACAAUGUGCAGGUUAGUUACAUAGGUAUACAUGUGCCAUGCUGGUGCGCUGCACCCACUAACUCGUCAUCUAGCAUUAGGUAUAUCUCCCAAUGCUAUCUCUCCCCCCUCUCCCCAUGCCACAACAGUCCCCAGAGUGUGAUGUUCCCCCUCCUGUGUCCAUGUGUUUCCAUUGUUCAGUUCCCACCUAUGAGUGAGAAUAUGCGGUGUUUGUUUUUUUGUUCUUGCGAUAGUUUACUGAGAAUGAUGAUUUCCAAUUUCAUCCAUGUCCCUACAAAGGACAUGAACUCAUCAUUUUUUAUGGCUGCAUAGUAUUCCAUGGUGUAUAUGUACCACAUUUUCUUAAUCCAGUCUAUCAUUGUU
rnacentral:lncRNA from 1 species